AUUGAACGCUAGCGGCAGGCCUAACACAUGCAAGUCGAGCGAGCGGCGGACGGGUGAGUAAUGUAUGGGGACUGCCCGAUAGAGGGGGAUAACUACUGGAAACGGUAGCUAAUACCGCAUACUAUCGGAUAACCCAUAUGGGAUUAGCUAGUAGGUGAGGUAAUGGCUCACCUAGGCGACGAUCCCUAGCUGGUGUGAGAGGAGGACCAGCCACACUGGGACUGAGACACGGCCCAGACUCCUACGGAGGCAGCAGUGGGGAAUUUUGCACAAUGGGCGCAACCCUGAUGCAGCCAUCCCGCGUGUAUGAUGAAGGCCUUCGGGUUGUAAAGUACUUUUGGCAGGGAAGCGUUAUCUGCAGAAUAAGCACCGGCUAACUCCGUGCCAGCAGCCGCGGUAAUUC
rnacentral:rRNA from 1 species